UACGAAGGGGGCGAGCGUUGUUCGGAAUUACUGGGCGUAAAGCGCACGUAGGCGGCUUUCUAAGUCAGGGGUGAAAUCCUGGAGCUCAACUCCAGAACUGCCUUUGAUACUGGAGAGCUUGAGUCCGGGAGAGGUGAGUGGAACUCCGAGUGUAGAGGUGAAAUUCGUAGAUAUUCGGAAGAACACCAGUGGCGAAGGCGGCUCACUGGCCCGGUACUGACGCUGAGGUGCGAAAGCGUGGGGAGCAAACAGG
rnacentral:rRNA from 1 species